rnacentral:rRNA from 1 species
AUGGCUAGGGGGAAAGACCGCGGCGCACCGCUGGGUGGUGGUGGUGUCGGCCCUCCACCGACGGCUGCCUCCUCAGCCCUUCCUCGGAGGGUUACGCGUGCUUCUGCGUCCCUCGCCGCCGGGAACCUGAGGCCCGCUGAGGCCACCGCCGGGAAGCAGAGACUUCCCGGAUCCGCCGCUGCCGCCACCGUCGGGAAACAUACCGACCUGAAAGUCGGCGCCGCCCCUGUCUCCGCCUCCGCCUCCUCAGGCCUCUCAAAGGAAGAGGAAUGUUUUGUGAACAAUUUUAUAUAUCUGAUGAACCGCAAACCAAGUGAAUUGUAUAAGCUUUAUGCUGAUGAUGCUGAACUGAAUUGGAAUUUCGAUGGCCGUCGAAUUGAACUGAAAACGAAUGAGACUAUCAGGAAGUUUCUAUCCGAUGCAGCCCCCCAGAGGCAAUUUGGUGCUGUAGAUUGUAAAGUGCAGUCAGUUGUCACUCUCAGCUCUUCUUUACUGACUGUCUAUGGAAUUUGCGACGCGCUUGAUUGUAAGCCUCGAAUUUUUGUUCAAACGUUUCUACUUCGGCGCCCGGAUUUGUUGAUCUUGAAUGAUGCACUGACUGUCCUCUUGUUAUGUGUACCAGAAAGUGACAUUUCUAAAAAGCCCCAGCGUCAUAUAUCAAACAACCGUUGUGGUGUUUGCAACAACGAAUGGCAUAGCAGUGACCCUAAAAGCUGGGUCCAAUGCAGCAAUUGCUUGACAUGGCUUCACAUUGAGUGUGACCCCGUGUGCUGUGAUGAUGUGGAGAUUUUGGAAAAAUUAAAUUAUUUGUGCCCAUUCUGUAUGUCUCAGUUUCAAAGCAUAUUGGCAGUACAACACACUUCAACUGGAAAUUUUUCUGAACCCAUACCAGUGUCCUGUUUAGCCAAGCAUGGAGUGUAUAUGCCAGAAAAAAACAAGGUAUUAUGUCACUGCAAUGAUUGCUCGGAAGAAGCUAAGCUUAGGUCAAUGACAGCAUGA